AGUGAAUGCAAGUUAACUUUUUAAAAAAUAUUUCUAACAAGCAACAGCUGUGCGCUACAAAAAAAAAAAAAAAAGAAUAAAAUGAUGAUGAAGUGGUGCAGCUCACUGAAACGGGGAACAAAGUAAGUAAGGCUUAUUUCAUCCGUCAAAUUUCUGUCUUUUCCAGGAGGAAGAUUCGGGGAGGCCAGACUCAACCCUGACAGGUCCAGGUCAACGGUUACCGAAGCAGAACGACGUGGAGCUCUUUUGUGCUUUGAGGCGUUCAGAUAUUCUCCGAUUCACCCCGCCGUUUGUAACUCAAUACUCCGUCCGUCUGCUGCAGGCUGCACAGGGGAGACCACACUGACUAACGUCUCGAUUCAGCAGAAUAAACAACGUUAGCGUUGAGGAGGAGACCUGCUGUCUGGGGUUUGCCAGCGGCGCCUGCUGUGCCAGGUGGACGCAGCUUGGGAGGAAGAAAGAUGGACACAAGGGACAGAAGGACGGAGACUGAAAGCAGCAAAGUAGGACAUAAGCUUGGCAAAGAAAACCAAGUGAAAAGGAUCCAGCUGGCUUGCAUGUCAAUUGAUUCAAAGCACCUUCCAAAUAGAUGUACAGCUGGAGGCGCUCCAGGGAUGGUGCAAGCACACAUAUGCACGCGCGCACGCACGCACACACACACACACACACACACACACACACAUAUACCCCUAUUAUACAAUAUUCUAAGCGUGCUUCUACAAUACCACCACAUGCACGCUUAUUUCAUUUUACAGGUGCAUCUAAAAAAUGUGAAAAAUAAUCAAAAAGUUUGAUUCAAGAAUGAAUUUCAAAGGAUUAAAAAGGACUUUCAGGACAGAAAUGAUGGCAAACUGAAAAGUACAUCGAUGUUUCGUACAGUCUAUGCACUCAGUAGUUGGUAGGGAACAUUUUACAUUAUUGCUUCAAAGCAGCAUGCAAGCCUCUGCUGAGGUGUUAAGGAAGUCCAGGUAGCUUUAAUAAUGGCCUGCAGCAUUGUUGGUUCUGGUGUCUCAUGACUUCCUUUUGAUUAUAUCCCAUAUGGCAUUUAAAGAACAGCGAUGUUAUGGUCAUUAAACAAAGCAAUCAUACUUAUUGCAGUAAGGGCAGAUGCCAAGUAGGAUUGGGAAAUGAAAUCAGCAUCUCUGUAAAGUCAGCAGAGGGUGAAACAUGAAGUGCUUUAAUUUCUUCCAGCUUGAAGUCAAUAAAACAAAGUGGGGAAUAUCAGCAGAUGACAUGAUUCCCCAAAUCAUCACUGACUGUGGAAACUUCACUCCGGACCUCAGGCAACUUAGUUUCUUUGCCUCCGCUCUCUUCCUUUAGAGUCUGGGACAUUGAUUUUCAAAAAAAAAAUGUUAAUUUUAAUUUUAACCGAAAAGAGAACUUUGGAGCAAUCAGCAACACAAUGCAACAUCAUUUUCUACAUUUCAAAUAAUUUUGUUGGCCUUAUGCAAUAUUAUAUUUUACUGCAUUGUAUAUAAACUGGAUUUUGUGUUUUUAUUACCCAUAGGGCAUAAUCUUCAGGAAUAAAGAUAAAUGUCUCAAACUAGUGAGAUUCCUCUGUAUUGUUACCAAUAUAUUUGCACAAAAACUUAACAUAAACACACACACGCACACACACACACACACACGUUCACACACAACACAUUUGGCAUUCCUAAUGCUAAUGGAGCCCGUGUUCUGUUUCAUGUUUCUUAAAUCAGUUUAUCUUGCCCUGGGUUUAAGAACAUGCCUUUGAUGGCCUUGAGACGCUGAAGAAGGUACCUUUAAAAGAAAAGCCUCAAACAUUUUUUUUAUCUAUUUGUAUAUAGAGAUUAUCAAAU